GCAUGUCUCAGUGCACGCGGUCGCAACAGUGGAUCUGUGAAUGNNUCCUUACAUCAGCAGUCAUCUCCGUGAUAGAGUGUGCACGGCAGGCCCGAUGCAGGCGCCCCAGUUGGACAUCCUCCAAAACCUUGUGGCUAAUACACGUACGCAACGGUCAGCCAUUGGCAAGCGCUUGCCUCCUUCCGUGGUGGGAGAGGCGUCGGGACGGGGAAAAAACAGGGCGGUCCGGUGUUCCUCCGCACCGCUCUCCCGCCGCGACGCUCCUCCCAACAGGGUCGGUCCCUUUGUAUGCAGGUGUUGUGGCCUGAUUGCGCCCAGUCGAUCGAAAGACCCGCGCUCGGAUUUGAUCGGAAGAGCAGCGUUCCCCAGUGGUUGAACCAGACUGGUCCCCCCUUUCGGAGCGGUUCGUUGCGACGGCGCACAGCAGUCCGCCCCGCACCACCCACACACCCCCAUCGCCCCUUCCUACGCUUCCCCACCCGCGCCCUCUCCCAGAGGAGGCAAAGCGCGGUGGGGGGGGGGGGGGAWWWAGGGGGGGGGGGAGAGGAGGGGSUGUAAGGUACGGUGCUGCGUGCCSSAUUCGCGCGACGCCGCCACUUCGGUUUCGGGACGGUCGUGCUGGCUGAGUGGCAGCUGUGUCGGGAUCCCCGGGGUUUUCAUGCCCCGUCCCGCCGGCGCACACAUGCUUGAUCACGCGAACUUCUGACCUAUCAGCUUGGACUGUGGUGUAGCGGACACAAGUGGCAGUUACGGGUAACGGAGAAUCAGGGUUCGAUUCCGGAGAGGGAGCCUGAGAGACGGCUACCACUACCAAGGUGGGCAGCAGGCGCGCAAAUUGCCCAAUCCAAAAGCACAUCUGUGAGGCAGCGACGAACUGCAGCAAUCCCGCUGGUAUUCUUCACCAGUGGGACUUGGAAUGGAUGCAAUCCAAAAACAGUGAUGAGUAACAACUGGAGGGCAAGUCUGGUGCCAGCAGCUGCGGUAAUUCCAGCUCCAAGAGCGUACACUAACAUUGCUGCUGUUAAAACACUUGUAGUCUGCCACUGGGCAGCAGGUCUGCCGGGGGAGCCGUUCUCUCUCCACGGAGCACAGUGUGUGCGGCUGUGGUGGUGGUGGUGGUGGAUGUGGCUGUGGGAUGUGGUGGUGGUGGGGGUGGUGGUGGUGGGUGGUGUUGCCGAGGGGGCACAACACGACGACGACGACGACGAACGGGCGUUCGGCGGGUUCUUCUGGGGUCUUGUGCUUGGUCCCGCCACUCUGGGGGUUUACCCCUCGGUUUGGUGGGCCAUCAUCCCCCCCAUUCCCCCGUGUUCGCCCGCCGCCGGCCGGCCGCCGCCGCGCGCCCCGCUCCUCGGCUUCUCCUCCUCCCGCCUCUCUCCCCCUCUCCCAACAACACCCCGCUCCCUUCCUCCCCACCCCCCCACCACACUCCCGCGCCCGCGCGCUGCGCUGUGGGAGAUUGGGUUCAGAAAAACCCCGGUGGUAUGUCCCUGCGCCCGACACUGUCAAUCCGCGGUGAGAGAACUGAAUCUCCUACCAUUCGAGUGCUCCUGCCGACAAGUACCCUUCAGUGGGUGCCCAGGCGACUUCGCCCCGAACGCGCGCGUGGACGAACGGCUUUGCACGGUGGAUGGGGCCCUUCUCGCGCCCCAUAGAUCCAACCACCGUUAACCACGUCCAUCGCCGGAGCCCACCGCGAUCGACACCCUGGAAAACUCAGUGUGCUCAAAGCAACCUCCCGAUGGCUGAAUGCCUGUCCAUGGAAUGUCGCAGCAUCGACCGAGUGUGGCCACAAAGAGUUGUGCGUGGCCUUGGAGCCCACUCCGGGCAAUCUGGUAGUGCGUUGCUUUGCCUCCCGCGCCCCCACAUUCGCGGCGUCGGCGGGGGGAGGGGGAGUUUGGUGGUGUGACGGGGGGGGUGUGCCGCGCGCCACCAACACCGCACCCGCCCCCUUGUGGGGCGGCGUGUGGGGCGCUUUGCGUGUUCUCCCAGCGCACCAUUCCUCUUCUCUCCCGUGGGUGCCGUGUGGGCGUGCGGACGGCGUUCCACAGCACGCCGCCGAACGGAAUCGAGGGGUCCGUUCGGAGUGGACGAUAUUGUAGCGCCAGAGGUGAAAUUUUCAGAUCGCUGCAAGAUCCACGGCAGCGAAGGCGCUCUGCUAGUGCGUGUUCGUCGAUCAAGAAUGAGAGUAUGGGGAGCAAAGAUGAUCAGACACCGUCGUAGUCCAUCACCGUAAACGAUGCCGGCUCGGUCCUGGCGGGGAUAGACCCAAGACCCCGCCAGAGCCACCCCUCCCACAACGAGAAAUCCACAGCCUGUGGGUUCAGGGGGGAGUACCGUCGCAAGGCUGAAACUUAAAGGAAUUGACGGAAUGGCACCACAAGGCGUGGAGUAUGCGGCUUAAUUUGACUCAACACGGGGAAUGUUACCAGGUCAGGACGCAACCUGGAUGGACAGAUUGAGAGCUCUUUCUUGAUUCUGCGGACGGUGGUGCAUGGCCGCUCCUGAUUGGUGGAGUGAUUUGUCUGGUUGAUUCCGAUAACGAGUGAGACAUCUGCCUCCCAGUACGCCUCGGGCUCGCAUUCUGUAGGGACCACGACCCGCCGCCCCGGGGUCGCGCGCGUGCGUGACGCGGAGGCACGCUUCCGUUUCGCCGCCGCGCGCCGCGGGGUGUUCCGGGUCUCCCGAGAGCCCUUCUCCUGAGUUCAGCUUCUCUGAGGUGCUGCGUCCGCUUCCAAAGUACGCGCAUGCUAGAGCCAACAGCAGGUCUGUGAUGCUCCCAGAUGUCCUGGGCCGCACGCGCACUACACUGGCCCGGUGAAGGAGUCUACUUCCUACGAGGAGGCGCGGCGGCSSGGCGCCCGCCCCCCCUAUAUNNNNNUACCCCCCCCCCCCGACCSSSSGGGGGGGGGGGGGGGGGGGGGGGGGGUGGUGGUGGGGUGCCGCGCUGCGGUGUCCCUCCUCUGUGUCCCUGCCCUGAAGAGGGUGGGAAAUCCUGCAAGUCCGUUUGUGAGAGCCGUGCUGGGGAUAGAUGAUUGCAACUGUCUUCCUUGAACGUGGAAUGCCUAGUAGGCGUGCGUCAUCAGCGCACACCGAUUGUGUCCCUGCCAUUUGUACACACCGCCCGUCGUUGCUACCGAUGAUACCUGGAUAGAGUCAUCAGGAGGUGCCAUCAUCACAGGCCAACAGCAAAGGGGGGCGCCACCGCUGCCUCGUCAAACCAGGGAGAGGUGGUGUACCCCCCACGCUGCCAUUGUUGUCAACACUGCUGCUGCCGAAAUCGGACCAAUGUCCAGCUGCUAGAGGAAGCAAAA
rnacentral:rRNA from 1 species